UAAACAAGCUCUCCAGGACAUUUUAUUGGU
rnacentral:piRNA from 1 species